GUACUGAUGAAGAGUCCCGGAAUAGGACGAAACAAAUGUCCAGUAU
rfam:Trichobilharzia regenti genome assembly, scaffold: TRE_scaffold0052659